rnacentral:rRNA from 1 species
AACCUUUACACUGCACGACAGUGCGAUAGGGGGACUCCGAGUGCGAGGGCAUAUAGUCCUCGCUUUUCUGUACCGUAAGGUGGUACAGGAACAAGUGCUGGGCAAGACCGGUGCCAGCCGCCGCGGUAAUACCGGCAGCACGAGUGAUGGCCGAUAUUAUUGGGCCUAAAGCGUUCGUAGCCGGCCGGACAAGUUCGUUGGGAAAUCCACGCGCUCAACGCGUGGGCGUCCAGCGAAUACUGUUCGGCUUGGGGCCGGAAGACUCAAGGGGUACGUCCGGGGUAGGAGUGAAAUCCCGUAAUCCUGGACGGACCACCGAUGGCGAAAGCACCUUGAGAGCACGGACCCGACGGUGAGGGACGAAAGCCAGGGUCUCGAACCGGAUUAGAUACCCGGGUAGUCCUGGCCGUAAACGAUGUUCGCUAGGUGUGGCGCAGGCUACGAGCCUGCGCUGUGCCGUAGGGGAAGCCGUGAAGCGAACCGCCUGGGAAGUACGUCUGCAAGGAUGAAACUUAA